rnacentral:tRNA from 1 species
GUCAGCAUGUCCGAGUGGUUAAGGAGAUUGACUCGAAAUCAAUUGGGCUUUGCCCGCGCAGGUUCGAAUCCUGCUGUUGACG